rnacentral:rRNA from 1 species
AGCAGCCGCGGUAAUUCCAGCUCCAAUAGCGUAUAUUAAAGUUGUUGCAGUUAAAAAGCUCGUAGUUGAAUUUCGGGGUUAGCAGGUCGGUCGUGCCAUUGGUAUGAACUGGUCUCGCUGAUCCCUCCCUCUUGACGAACUGUGAUGCCAUUAAUUUGGUGUCGCAGGGAAUCAGGACUGUUACUUUGAAAAAAUUAGAGUGUUUAAAGCAGGCAUUUUUGCUCGAAUACAUUAGCAUGGAAUAAUAGAAUAGGACGGCAUGGUUCUAUUUUGUUGGUUUCUAGGAUCACCGUAAUGAUUAAUAGGGAUAGUUGGGGGCAUUAGUAUUCAAUUGUCAGAGGUGAAAUUCUUGGAUUUAUUGAAGACUAACUACUGCGAAAGCAUUUGCCAAGGAUGUUUUCAUUAAUCAAGAACGAAAGUUAGGGGAUCGAAGACGAUCAGAUACCGUCGUAGUCUUAACCAUAAACUAUGCCGACUAGGAAUCAGACGAUGUUAAUUUUUUAAUGACUCGUUUGGCACCUUACG